UUUUUUUUGGUGUGUGUGUGUGUGUCUCCUUCUUCUUAGAAAAUAAUAGUGAUGGUAGGUCAUAGUGUUCUUUCCUUUCCUUUCCUCUUUCUUUCUUUAUUCCCUUCCUUCCUUUUUUCCUUUCCUCAUUUCUUCCUUCCUUUUAAAGUAAAAAUGUCUUACUUGACAAAAUUAAACACUGGCAAUCUUACAUUAAUGCCUUCCCUGGCCCAUGUCUCUGGGGUGGAAAUCACUGCCUGGAGAAAGAGUCCAUGCACAGCGGCUUUUGUACUGUUCAAAUGUUUAUCACAGACUUUCAAAGGCAAUGAUGGUAUUCCUUUCAAGGUUCUACAUGACAGAACAGGAAAGGUCAUCUAAUAGGUAAGUAUACAAUAUGCUGCAUCAGGAUCCAAACCUACUAAAACAUUGGCCAGUACCAUCAGGGAGGGUACUGGCUGCACAGAGGAGCAGGUGGUGGCUCAGGCAGCACGAUCCAGACCACUGCUAGACACCAGGUCUGGGAUGGGCCAGCCGACUCCAAGAGUAGCUCUGACAGGGGAGUCAAGGAACUAGUGUCCAAGAUGCCAACCCAUUAUUUUCUAAAAUAAAACAAAUGAAACCCAGCUGUAUUGUUACAAAGGAGAUAUCUUAAGGGGAAAAAAGGACAGAGUAACCUAAGAAAACUCAUAAACAUGUUUAUAAUAAAGACUUUUGAAUUUUUUAUGGGUUCCACCAUGGAGCAAAACUAAGACUAGCUAAUGAGAAUACAAGAAACCCAGCUGAUCUUGCUAUCAGAGAACCAAAAUAUCCUGCAGAUACUAGCAUUUUCUCCAAAUGGAAUACAUUGUUGCCUUGCCUACUUCCUCAUUCUGUUUAUAGUUCUUUAAUAGCCAGAGCUUAUCUUGGAACUCUUGGUGCACCCUCAAAUCUUCAGCUGGUACAGAGCCUAAUUUGUAGUGUGGGACAGAUAGAUGUGUGUUAAAAAUUUUAAUUAUGUUUUUAUUGGUGCAUUAUAAUACAUGAUAAUAGGGUUCGUUGUGAUAUAUUCAUACAUGCACAUUUCCCAGUACCUUCCCUUUUCCCUCUCCUUCCUCCACCUGAUCCAUUUACUGAUCUAUUAUUAUUGUUGUUGUUGUUAUUACUGACAUUAUUAUUUAGUGCGUUAUAAUUUUAUAUACAUAAGCAGGAUUUGUUUAGUAUAUUUGUACAUGGACAUAGCAUAAUUUGGUAGAUUGCACUUCACAGAACUUCCCCAUGCAUUCCCCCUCUCCCUCCCUUUCAAGACCCUUCUAUUCUACUGGUUAUCUCAUCUAUUUUCUUGAGAUCCCUUUGUUUUAUUCCCAUUUUUAUGCUUCAUUUUCUUUGUCCAUUCAUCUGUUGAUGGACACUUAGGCUGGUUCCAUAACUUGGCUAUUGUGAAUUUUGCUGCUAUGAACAGUGGGAUGCAUGUAUCACUAUAGGAUACUGAUUUUUGUUCAUUUGGAUAAAUACCAAGGAGUGGAAUAGCUGAGUGAUAUGGGCGUUCCAUUUCUAGUCUUUUGAGAAAUAAUAAUACUGAUUUUCAUAGUGGUUUUACUAAUUUGCAGCCCACCUACUAGUAUUCCUUUCACCUCAUAUCCUCUCUAGAAUUUAUUAUUAUUUAUUCUUGAUGUUUUUCAUUCUAACUGGGCUGAGAUGAAAUAUCAGGGAAGUUUUCAUUUAUGUGUUCCUGAUUUCUAAGAAAGAAAGUUGGACAUUUUUUCAUGUAUUUGUUGGCCAUUUGCAUUUCUUCUUUUGAGAAAUCUUUUACUUCAUUUGCCCAUUUUUAUUGGGGCUUUUUUUUUUUGGUGUUAAGUUUUUUGAUUUGUUCAUAUAUUCUGGAUAUUAACCCCGUGUCCCAAGAGUAGCUGGCAAAGAUUUUCUCCCAUUCCAUAGACUGUCUUGAACACUGUUCACUGUUUCCUUUGUUGUACAGAAGGUGUUAAAUUUGAUGUCAUCCCAUUUGUUGAGUCUUAAUUUUUUUUCCUUUAUUUUUUAAAUUUUAUUUUUUGAGUUUUAGGAGUUUUUUAAGAAAGCCAGUGCCUGUGUCUAACUGUUGUAGCGUUGAC
rnacentral:lncRNA from 1 species